CCUACGGGGGGCAGCAGUGGGGAAUAUUGCACAAUGGGGGAAACCCUGAUGCAGCGACGCCGCGUGAGUGAAGAAGUAAUUCGGUAUGUAAAGCUCUAUCAGCAGGGAAGAAAAUGACGGUACCUGACUAAGAAGCCCCGGCUAACUACGUGACAGCAGCCGCGGUAAUACGUAGGGGGCAAGCGUUAUCCGGAUUUACUGGGUGUGAAGGGAGCGUAGGUGGGCUGGUAAGCCAGAAGUGAAAAACCAGGGCUCAACUCUGGGGAGUGCUUUUGAAACUAGCAAGCUAGAGUGCAGGAGGGGUAAGCGGAAUUCCUAGUGUAGCGGUGAAAUGCGUAGAUAUUAGGAGGAACACCGGUGGCGAAGGCGGCUUACUGGACUGAAACUGACACUGAGGCUCGAAAGCGUGGGGAGCAAACAGGAUUAGAUACCCUUGUAGUC
rnacentral:rRNA from 1 species